rnacentral:rRNA from 1 species
CAGUCGUACCUGCGGGUAAUCAGCCUUUUGGGCAUGAUUCUGUGGAGCGUGAGGAGUUAAACGCCUUCAUGCCUGCAUAUUCGUGUACUUUUGGGUGUACUUGCCUGUGUGGUUAGUUAACAUCGACUUUGGUUGUCAUAAAAUGAUUGGAGGAAUGUAGCUUUGAUCUCGUAUCGAAGUGUUAUAGCCUCUGGUAGAUGGUGACGAUUGGGGAUUUGGAGGAUUGCAACGGAUACCCCCGUCGGGGCCUACCCGUCUGAUCUCUGAAGGUUGC